GACGAACGCUGGCGGCGUGCUUAACACAUGCAAGUCGAACGGAAAGGCCCUGCUUUUGUGGGGUGCUCGAGUGGCGAAAGGGUGAGUAACAAGUGAGUAACCUGCCCUUGACUUUGGGAUAACUUCAGGAAACUGGGGCUAAUACCGGAUAGGAGGUCCUGCUGCAUGGUGGGGGUUGGAAAGUUUCGGCGGUUGGGGAUGGACUCGCGGCUUAUCAGCUUGUUGGUGGGGUAGUGGCUUACCAAGGCUUUGACGGGUAGCCGGCCUGAGAGGGUGACCGGCCACAUUGGGACUGAGAUACGGCCCAGACUCCUACGGGAGGCAGCAGUGGGGAAUAUUGCACAAUGGGCGGAAGCCUGAUGCAGCAACGCCGCGUGCGGGAUGACGGCCUUCGGGUUGUAAACCGCUUUCGCCUGUGACGAAGCGUGAGUGACGGUAAUGGGUAAAGAAGCACCGGCUAACUACGUG
rnacentral:rRNA from 1 species